rnacentral:rRNA from 1 species
GACGAACGCUGGCGGCGUGCUUAACACAUGCAAGUCGAGCGGAAAGGCCCUUUCGGGGGUACUCGAGCGGCGAACGGGUGAGUAACACGUGAGUAAUCUGCCCUUGGCUUCGGGAUAACUACCGGAAACGGUGGCUAAUACCGGAUAUGACACCUUCUGGCAUCGGGGGUGUGGAAAGUUUUUCGGCCAGGGAUGUGCUCGCGGCCUAUCAGCUUGUUGGUGGGGUAAUGGCCUACCAAGGCUUCGACGGGUAGCCGGCCUGAGAGGGUGACCGGCCACACUGGGACUGAGACACGGCCCAGACUCCUACGGGAGGCAGCAGUGGGAAUAUUGGACAAUGGGCGGAAGCCUGAUCCAGCAACGCCGCGUGAGGGAUGACGGCC